rnacentral:rRNA from 1 species
UACGUAGGGUGCAAGCGUUGUCCGGAAUUAUUGGGCGUAAAGGGCUCGUAGGCGGUUUGUCGCGUCGGGAGUGAAAUCCACUGGCUUAACUGGUGGCUUGCUUUCGAUACGGGCAGACUGGAGGUAUGCAGGGGAGAACGGAAUUCCUGGUGUAGCGGUGAAAUGCGCAGAUAUCAGGAAGAACACCAAUGGCGAAAGCAGCUUUCUGGGACGGUACUGACGCUGAGACGCGAAAGCGUGGGGAGCGAACAGG